GUACUGCCCGGGCAGGGUUGUCACGAAGGAGCUGAAGUCAGUGGGAGCUGCAGGGGCUCUGCAGCACUCCCAUCACUCCCUCAUUGAAAGCUCUUCUACUGCCUGGGGAUUUGGAGACUCGCUGUUGCUGAUUUAGCUACACCUAGACUUUAGCUGGCCCGGAAUGAACCCCUGAUUCUCCCAUCUCUAGCCCACUUGGCCAUCCUGCACUUCUCCAGCGUGCCUCUCUCUGGUCCAGUUCCACGCUCACUCCGCGCUCAAGAGAUGGUGCAACACCACAAAUUGGCGUCCAUCACUGUCUGGCACCAAGUGUGCACAUUUACACACCAGUAGCUCCACUGGAGUCAAGGGGCCUACGCCAUUCGACACCAGCUAAGGAUCUGGCCCCUUCAUUGUGUUAGUUCUUGGAACAGGGACCAGAGUGUCUUCUUGUGCAUUUGGAUGGUGCCCAUCACAACAGGGCCACAAUGCAGACUGGGGGCUCCCCUAACGUAAAUAAUCCUAAUAAUAAGCAGAUACAGGGAAUUAAUUCAGGGUGAGCAUCAGGCAUCCUGCAGGAAUGAGCCAGCCAGAGACUUCAGCAGCGAAGGGCAGCUACAGAAGCACCCAAAGCAUGGACUGCAGCCCUGGGAAGGAGGGGGUAUUUGGGGCUCCACUGGGGUUACCCCUCCACCCACCAUCUGCCUGGACCGGCACUGUGUAGAGAAGACCCCCACACAAACACUCCAGGGCUACUAGGGCCCAGCUGGUGCCUCCAACCCUCUCCUUGCCAUAUGGACCCGGCAGGGAGGAACAGGCCAGCCCGUGGGAGCAGACUGCAGAAACAGACCAAGCAGGGACUUUCAGACAGCUGGAGAAAUGCGGACACGGUGAACGGAACUUCCUCUGUCCUGUACGGAUUAGCUGGUUGCUCAAACCCUCUCCUGCCCCCUCCCUCUCCUCAGCUUCACCCCACCCGUGCCCCACUGACUCCCUCCUCCCCUUCCCUUCAGUGUCCCCUCUCCCUGCCCGUUUCCUCCAUUCAGCUGAUCCCUGCCUAACUAAACCCACCCCCAAAAACUCACAGACCUGGCAUGGCAUUUGCUGCCAUCCCAUUGUUCACUCUGCCCGUGUGUUCUACCCCUUCUCCACCCUGGGUCUGUCUGGUCUAGUUAGACCGUAAGCUCUUCAGGGCAGGCACCGUCUGCUGCUUGGUGUUUGUACCACACCUAGCACAAUGGGGCCCCGUUCUCGGCUGGCCCGUAGGCACUGCCAUGUUAAACAUUAAUAGGAAUAACGCUACUCACUGGAGAGACUCCCAUGGACUGCAAUGGGCUUUGGAGCAGCAUUUGAGCCCAAAGGCAGGAUGUCUGGGUAUUUCAGCAUUUAGACCAAUGCCAGCUAAUCUAUGCAGCACGCGGGGAGAGCUGGCAGAGCUUUGGGAGGAAAGAAAUCCCACCGUACUGAACAGGGCACAGACAUCCCCAGCAGUGGGGAGGCUGCAAUCAACACAUGCAGCAUUGCUCUUUUGAGUUUCAAAGCUAAAGUCCCUCUGUUCCACCGCUCCCCUCGCUGUCCUGACCAGGACCAUCUGGCGGAUGGAAAUGUACCAUAUUAGAGACAUAUGCAUGAAGGCAAAAUAUCCACCCAGCUCUUCCUUGAGGAACUGCUGUCACAAAGUGGAUUUCUGAGGCAAUUGCACCAGACUCAGAGCUUCUAAGCACAGCAGUGCAUGGCAUUUGCAAGGAGCAUCUCAAUCCCUUAGCACAAUGCCAGGAUACACCUCACCCCAGCAAGCCCUCUCAAAGCCACAGGGGCCCAGCAAGUAGGCAGCCUGGUCAUGUCGGCUGAAAACUUCUUGAACAGAUGCAGUUGGUAGUGUGCACACCUUGGUACUGCUAUCUGGGCCACCCAGCAGCCUUCGGUCUAGGGCAGCACUUCGGAUCCCAGCAGUUUUGGGGAGAGUGCAAAAAAACACCAACAAUGAGGCAAAGCCACAGUAUGUUUCACUGUUUAAAAAGCCCGCUGGGGACAACAGGAUAAUUCACUGCCAAGGCAUUCAUUUGUUUAUUUAUUAUUAAUAUUUAGCACAGCUGCGUCCAUGCUGUGUCUAAGGUAAUUAUCGUGUGUAGACAAACCCAGCACAUACAGGACACUCCACAUGUAUGUCAGCAUGCGAUGCAGUCUGUGGGCAUCUGCCAGAAUUGCAGUUCUCCCAGCUUUUGUGAAACACCGGAGGCAUCAAAACCUGGCCCAUCUGAAGGACAUGUUGGCAGCUUGGCAAAAGCCAGAGA